CCUACGGGAGGCUGCAGUGAGGAAUAUUGGUCAAUGGACGAGAGUCUGAACCAGCCAAGUAGCGUGAAGGAUGAAUGCCCUAUGGGUUGUAAACUUCUUUUAUAUGGGAAUAAAAUGUUCCACGUGUGGGAUUUUGUAUGUACCAUAUGAAUAAGGAUCGGCUAACUCCGUGCCAGCAGCCGCGGUAAUACGGAGGAUCCGAGCGUUAUCCGGAUUUAUUGGGUUUAAAGGGAGCGUAGGUGGAUUGUUAAGUCAGUUGUGAAAGUUUGCGGCUCAACCGUAAAAUUGCAGUUGAAACUGGCAGUCUUGAGUACAGUAGAGGUGGGCGGAAUUCGUGGUGUAGCGGUGAAAUGCUUAGAUAUCACGAAGAACUCCGAUUGCGAAGGCAGUUCACUGGACUGCAACUGACACUGAGGCUCGAAAGUGUGGGUAUCAAACAGGAUUAGAUACCCUUGUAGUC
rnacentral:rRNA from 1 species